rnacentral:rRNA from 1 species
GACGAACGCUGGCGGCGUGCUUAACACAUGCAAGUCGAACGGAAAGGCCCUGCUUUUGUGGGGUGCUCGAGUGGCGAACGGGUGAGUAACACGUGAGUAACCUGCCCUUGACUUUGGGAUAACUUCAGGAAACUGGGGCUAAUACCGGAUAGGAGCUCCUGCUGCACGGUGGGGGUUGGAAAGUUUCGGCGGUGGGGGAUGGACUCGCGGCUUAUCAGCUUGUUGGUGGGGUAGUGGCUUACCAAGGCUUUGACGGGUAGCCGGCCUGAGAGGGUGACCGGCCACAUUGGGACUGAGAUACGGCCCAGACUCCUACGGGAGGCAGCAGUGGGGAAUAUUGCACAAAGGGCGGAAGCCUGAUGCAGCAACGCCGCGUGCUGGAUGACUGCCUUCGGGUUGUAAACCGCUUUCGCCUGUGACGAAGCGUGAGUGACGGUAAUGGGUAAAGAAGCGCCGGCUAACUACGUG